rnacentral:rRNA from 1 species
GAGCAUUCCGGGGUAGCAACGGCGGGAAUAAGGGGUGGGGUAGGGUUGUGCGGGAUGACAGGGCGUAAAGCGCGUGUAGGGGGGCUGUUAAGGCUGAUGGGAAAGCCCGGGGCUCACCCCCGGAAGUGCAUUGGAAACUGUCAGGCUCGAGUCCCGGAGAGGAGGGUGGAAUUCCUGGUGUAGCGGUGAAAUGCGUAGAUAUCAGGAGGAACACCGGUGGCGAAGGCGGCCCUCUGGACGGUGACUGACGCUGAGACGCGAAAGCGUGGGGAGCAAACAGGAUUAGAUACCCUGGUAGUC